CUGCUGCUACUGCUCAGUCAGUAGAGCACGAGACUUUAAAUGUCAGGGUCUUGGGUUUGAGCCCCACGUUGCACA